UCUUAUCAACAGUGGGGCAGGUGGGAUAAUGAUUUCUUAGCAAUAUGGAGAUUUUAGCGGGUUAGAAACAGAGCACCGGCGUAGCUUAUUUCAGGAGCAUUGGGCUAUAUAGAGGUGCAGAUGGAAGUUAUAAGGCCGGGCUUGGGGAGGUGCCUUUUUCGUAGUACAGUUCAGAUUUGACAGGGGGCGGGCGUAGUGCGCACUGUAGAAUUGCCUUAAUCUGUCCUAAAAUGGACACCGUAGUCUGGAGCGAAGACAGCUGACAAGGGGCGGGGAUAGGAGCCCCGGAUAUAGCACGGCUCCAGGGAGAGGUUGUCACAGACCCCAAAGUCAUAUAUAUCAACACAGUCGCGAAUGCACAAAGCGUAACAGCAGCUUCAACCACUUCUGCGCAUGGGCCAGCUACUCUGCUGUUAUCACCUACCUGCUCUUCACAGGUCUGUGACACAGGCGUGCAGUCAUGUGACAUACUUCAACGAAUAAAGGUAGCUCCACAUCCAACUUCUGGUUCAUUGGCCCUUGGUUGGGGAGACAGCGUUCACAAACAGUAAAAAGUCUCCAUGCAAAAUGAAUAUAAUCCGGGAAAAUAAAGACUUGGCCUGUUUCUAUACAACAAAACAUUCCUGGAGGGGAAAGUAUAAACGUGUGUUUUCCAUUGGUACACAUGCCAUAACUACUUACAACCCUAAUACUCUUGAAGUUACAAAUCAGUGGCCUUAUGGAGAUAUUUGUGGUAUCAGUCCUGUGGGUAAGGGGCAAGGAACAGAGUUUGCGCUUACAUUUCGUAAGGGCAGUGGAAAGAAAUCAGAAACCUUAAAAUUUUCUACAGAGCACAGAACAGAACUUCUUACAGAAGCACUACGAUUCAGGACAGAUUUUUCUGAAGGCAAGAUCACUGGAAGGAGGUAUAACUGCUAUAAACAUCACUGGAGUGAUACACGAAAGUUGGUCACUUUGGAAGUGACUCCUGGGGGUAUUGACCAAAUAGAUCCAUCAAAUAAUCGUGUCCUUUGCACCUAUGAUUAUCGAAAUAUUGAAGGUUUCACAGAAGUCUCUGGUUAUCAGGGAGGUUUUUGCAUCCUUUAUGGAGGCUUUAGUCGAUUGCAUUUAUUUGCAAGUGAGCAAAGAGAAGAAAUUAUUAAAAGUGCCAUAGAGCAUGCCGGAAACUUUAUAGGCAUAACCCUACGGACAAGGAAGGAACCAGUAGAUUUUGAAUAUUAUGUAAGCCUUCGUUUGGGAAAAUACAGCAAUGAUGAAUCCAUCACUUCCUUAGCAGAAUUCAUUGUUCAAAAAAUUACUUCAAGGCAUACGGAGCCAGUGAAAAGAUUGCUAGCACUUACUGAAACUUGCCUAUUGGAAAGGGACCCAGCAACUUAUAAUAUCGUAACGCUGAAACCAUUAGGAGAGAUAUUUGCACUAGUAUAUGACCCUGAAAACCCCCAAAUUUUUACUGUAGAAUUUAUAAAAGGACAGAUUCGAAAAUACUCAUCAACUGAAAGAGAUUCCUUACUGGCAAGUUUAUUAGAUGGUGUAAGAGCAUCUGGAAAUAGAGAUGUCUGUGUUAAGAUGACUCCAACUCAGAGAGGCCAGCGGUGGGGCCUGUUAAGUGUGCCUGUGGAUGAGGAGGUGGAGAGCCUGCACUUAAGAUUUCUAACCACUCCUCCAAAUGGGAACUUUGCAGACGCAGUAUUUAGAUUCAAUGCAAAUAUCUCUUACAGUGGAGUCCUACACGCUGUGACUCAAGAUGGCCUCUUCUCUGAGAACAAAGAAAAGCUGAUUAAUAAUGCCAUAACAUCAUUACUUUCACAAGAAGGGGAACUGGCAGCUUCUAAUGCAGAACUUGAAAGCCAGUUCCAGGCAGUCAGGAGGCUAGUGGCUUCCAAAGCAGGAUUCCUUGCCUUUACCCAGCUACCAAAAUUUCGUGAACGCCUUGGAGUGAAAGUAGUCAAAGCUCUCAAAAGGAAUAAUGAUGGAGUCACCCAUGCUGCUAUUGAUAUGCUUUGUGCAUUAAUGUGUCCUAUGCAUGAUGACUAUGACUUAAGGCAAGAGCAACUGAACAAAGCAUCCCUUCUUUCUUCAAAGAAGUUUCUGGAAAACUUGCUAGAAAAGUUUAAUUUACACGUGAAUUAUGGGACAGGCGCGUUAGUUAUCAGUUCUCUUUUGGACUUCCUCACUUUUGCACUUUGCGCUCCAUACAGCGAAACAACAGAAGGUCAACAGUUUGAUAUGUUACUGGAGAUGGUAGCCUCUAAUGGAAGGACUCUCUUUAAGCUAUUUCAGCACCCUUCAAUGGCAGUUGUAAAGGGAGCAGGAUUAGUAAUGAAGGCAAUCAUAGAGGAAGCAGAUAAAGAAAUAGCGACAAAGAUGCAAGAACUCGCACUCAGUGAAGGUGCCUUGCCUCGACACUUGCACACUUCCAUGUUUACAAUAAGCGCUGACCAGAGGAUGCUAACAAACAGACAGCUGAGUAGACAUUUAGUGGGCCUUUGGACAGCUGACAACACAACAUCAUUAAAUUUACUGAAACGUAUUUUGCCUCCGGGUUUGCUGGCAUACCUGGACAGCACUGAUCCUGUCCCUGAAAAGGAUAUUGACAGAAUGCAUAUCAGGGAUAAUCUAAAAAUUGCUUCUGACCAGUAUGGAAAAUUUAACAAAAUUCCUGAAUGGCAGAGAAUAGCAGGAAAAGCUGCUAAAGAAGUAGAAAAAUUUGCCAAGGAGAAAGUAGAUUUGGUUUUAUUGCACUGGAGGGACCGGAUGGGAAUUGCACAGAAAGAGGACAGAAAUAGUAUGAAUACUGCCCAAAAGCCUGUCAUCCUCCGAAAAAGGCGGCAAAGAAUAAAGAUAGAAUUGAAUUGGGACCUUUUCUAUUAUCGAUUUCACCAGGACCAUGCUCGUUCAAACUUGAUCUGGAACUUCAAAACCAGAGAAGAGUUAAGGGACACCCUUGAAGCAGAAAUGAGAGCUUUUAAUGUUGAUAGGGAGCUCGGAAGCUCCACAGUAAUUUCUUGGAACCACCAGGAGUUUGAGGUGAAAUAUGAUUGUCUAUCUGAAGAGAUUAAAAUAGGAGACUACUAUCUCCGGUUACUUUUGGAAGAGGAUGAAAAUGAGGAAAAUGCAGCAAUAAAACAAUCGUAUGAAUUCUUCAAUGAACUCUAUCACCGUUUUCUCCUUACUCCCAAAGUGAACAUGAAGUGUCUAUGCUUACAAGCCCUGAGUAUUGUAUAUGGGAGGUGCCAUGAGGAAAUUGGACCCUUUGGAGACACUAAGUAUAUAGUUGGAAUGCUAGAAAGGUGCACAGAUAGACUGGAGAGGGACAGGCUUAUUUUAUUCCUGAAUAAACUGAUUCUUAAUAAGAAAAAUGUAAAAGAUAUUAUGGACUCCAAUGGUAUAAGGAUCCUGGUCGACCUUCUCACAUUGGCACAUCUUCACACCAGCCGAGCCACUGUACCACUACAAAGCAAUGUUAUAGAAGCUGCUCCUGAUAUGAAACGAGAAAGUGAAAAAGAGUGGUAUUUUGGUAAUGCAGACAAGGAAAGGAGUGGACCAUACAGUUUUGUUGAGAUGCAAGAGUUCUGGAACAAGGGAAUACUCAGCCCAAAAACACGCUGCUGGGCCCAGGGAAUGGAUGGUUGGAGACCUCUUCAAGUAAUACCUCAGCUGAAAUGGUGUUUGUUGGCAGCUGGUCAAGCUGUAUUGAAUGAGACAGAUCUCGCUACACUGAUAUUGAAUAUGCUCAUCACCAUGUGCAGUUACUUUCCCAGCAGAGAUCAGGAUAAUGCUAUAAUUAGACCAUUGCCAAAGGUAAAGAGGCUGCUGACAGACAACACUUGCCUUCCACACAUCACGCAGCUUUUGCUGACGUUUGACCCCAUCCUGGUUGAGAAGGUUUCCAUAUUACUCUAUCACAUCAUGCAAGACAAUCCACAGCUGCCUCGCUUCUAUCUCACUGGAGUGUUCUUCUUUAUCAUGAUGUACACUGGUUCCAACGUGCUCCCUAUAGCCAGGUUUUUGAAGCAUACUCAUGCAAAACAAGCUUUCAGGACAGAAGAGAGUAAAGGGCCUGACAUUUUCCAAAGAAGCAUUCUUGGCCAUAUCCUUCCUGAAGCUAUGGUAUGCUACCUGGAAAAUUAUGAACCUGAAAAGUUUUCUGAAAUUUUCCUGGGAGAAUUUGACACGCCUGAAGCUAUAUGGAGCAGUGAGAUGAGACGUCUCAUGAUAGAAAAAAUUGCUGCACACUUGGCAGACUUCAGCCCUCGCCUUCAGAGCAACACUCGAGCCCUUUAUCAGUACUGCCCUAUUCCCGUUAUCAAUUAUCCUCAGCUGGAGAAUGAGCUCUUCUGCAACAUAUACUACUUGAAACACUUCUGUGACACUCUCAAGUUUCCUGAUUGGCCAAUUAAGGAUCCAGUGAAACUGCUAAAGGAUACACUGGAAGCAUGGAAAAAAGAGGUAGAAAAAAAACCCCCAACAAUGUCUAUAGAUGAUGCCUAUGAGGUCCUUGGUCUUUCUCGAGGACAAGGCCAGUAUGAUGAAAGUAAGAUAAGGAAAGCUUACUUCAGGCUUGCUCAGAAAUAUCACCCAGAUAAAAACCCAGAAGGAAGGGAUAUGUUUGAAAAGGUUAAUAAAGCAUAUGAAUUUCUGUGCACAAAGUCAAAAAAGGUUGUGGAUGGUCCAGAUCCUGAAAAUAUCAUUUUAAUUUUAAAGACUCAGAGCAUUCUUUUCAACAGACACAAAGAAGAUCUUCAACCUUACAAGUAUGCCGGCUACCCAAUGCUCAUUCGGACCAUCACCAUGGAGACAUCAGAUGAACAACUUUUCUCAAAAGUGUCCCUUCUGCCUGCAGCAACUGAGCUGGCAUACCACACUGUCAACUGCUCGGCACUUAAUGCAGAAGAACUCAGAAGAGAGAAUGGCAUAGAGGUGCUUCAGGAUGGUUUUUCUCGUUGCGUGUCAGUUCUUACUGCCUCAAGUAAACCAGAUGAUAUGCCAGUUCAGGUAUGUGGACAUAUAUGCAAGUGCUACAGUGUUGCUGCUCAGUUUGAAACCUGCAGGGAGAAGAUCACAGAGAUGCCAAAUAUCAUCAAAGACCUUUGCAGAGUGUUGUAUUAUGGCAAGAGAGUCCAGAGACUAGCCGCAAUGGCAGUGGAAUGCGUUAGCUCCUUUGCUGUAGAUUACUGGUUGCAGACGCAUUUGCUUCAAGCAGGGGUCUUGUGGCACUUACUUGCAUAUCCUUUCAACUAUGACUUUACACUAGAAGAAAGUGGCAUCCAGAAGAACGAAGAUACUAACCAACAGGAGGUUGCUAACAGUCUUGCCAAGCUAAGCCUUCUUGCCCUGAGCCGGCUGGGUGGGUAUUUAUCUGGAGAUCAAGAAACACCUGAAAACCCGGUACUCAGGAAGAGUUUAGCUGGAAUGCUGACUCCUUACAUUGCCAGGAAACUCACUGUUUCAUCUCCCACAGAGAUCCUUAAAAUGCUCAACAGUAAUACAGAAAGCCCAUAUCUAUUAUGGAACAAUGGCACAAGAGCAGAGCUUCUGGAAUAUCUCGAGUCCCAGCAGGAAAGCAUGGUCAGAAGGGGUGAUUGUGAUGUAAGUUAUGGGGCAGACUUUGUGUACAGUGAACAUUCCAAAGAACUUAUAGUAGGGGAUAUUUUUGUAAGGAUCUACAAUGAGCAGCCCACUUUCCAACUUGAGCUUCCAAAAGCAUUUGCAGCAUCUUUACUGGAUUACAUUGGGUCACAAGCACAGUAUCUCCACACACUGAUGGCUCUUACCCAAACUGGAAAAGUUGAAUCUGAUCAGCACGUAGACAGAUUGCAGAGGGUUGAGAUGGCACUUGAAGCUCUAAGAAACGUCAUCAAACACAACCCUGGCUCUGAAACUGAAUGCAUAGGACAUUUUAAAUUAUUAUUUUCAUUGCUGCGUGUCCAUGGUGCCGGAAAGGUUCAACAACUUGCAUUAGAGGUGGUCAAUAUUGUUACCAGCAAUCAAGAUUGUGUAAAUAAUAUAGCAGAGUCAAUGGUCCUCUCCAGCUUAUUGUCUCUAUUGCACUCAUUACCAACAAGUCGCCAACUUGUCCUUGCAACUCUCUAUGCCUUGACAUCCAGUACAAAAAUCAUAAAGGAGGCCAUGGCAAAAGGUGCUUUAAUCUACCUAUUGGAUAUGUUUUGCAAUUCCACUCACCCACAAGUAAGGUCCCAGACAGCAGAGUUAUUUGCCAAGAUGAUAUCCGAUAAACUCAUUGGUCCUAAAGUUAGAAUUGUUCUAAUGAAAUUCUUGCCUGGGGUGUUUAUGGAUGCUAUGCGUGACAACCCAGAAGCUGCAGUACAUAUUUUUGAAGGAACCCAUGAAAAUCCUGAGCUGAUCUGGAAUGAUAACUCCAGGGAAAGAGUAUCUACCACAGUUCGUGAAAUGAUGUUAGAGCACUUUAAGCAGCAGGUAGAAAAUCCAGAUGCAAACUGGAAGUUGCCAGAUGAUUUUACUGUGGCAUAUGGAGAAGCCCAAGGGGAACUGUUGGUGGGCGGAGUUUUCCUGCGAAUCUUUAUUGCACAGCCAGCGUGGGUCCUUCGCAAACCAAGAGAAUUUCUUGUUGCCCUUCUGGAAAAAUUCACUGAGCUGCUAGAAAAGAACAAUGCUCAUGGUGAGACCUUAGAAACCAUCACCAAUGCAACAGUUUGUCUAUUCAGUGCACAGCCUCAGUUAAUGGACCAAGUACCACCAUUGGGUCAUUUACCCAAGAUUCUACAGGCCAUGAGCCAUAAGAACAAUGCUGUUCCAAAGUGUGCAAUUAGGGUCAUACACAUUCUCACUGAUAAUGAGCUUUGUGUCCGAUCACUGGCUUCUUUGGAUACUAUUGGGCCUCUAAUGAGUGGAAUGAAGAAACGCUCGGAUAUGAUUGGCUUUGCCUGUGAAGCUCUUAACAGGAUGUUUCAGAAAGAACAAACAGAACUAGUGGCACAAGCUUUAAAAGUUGACCUGGUCCCAUAUUUACUAAGGCUUUUGGAAGGACAAGGUCUUGAAAACCUGGAAAGUCCUGCAGCCACAAAAGCUCAGAUUGUAAAAGCUCUUAAAUCAAUGACUCGGAGCCUACAGUAUGGAGAACAGGUAAAUGAAAUCCUGACUCGAUCUUCUGUCUGGAGUGCCUUCAAAGAUCAGAAACAUGACUUGUUCAUUUCUGAAUCACAAACAGCAGGAUACCUCACUGGUGUCUCUCCUUCCCUUCUUACUGGUAGCAGCCCCCUUCACCUCAGAAGUGGGCUAUAGAUGCUCUCUUCCAAGCAGCUUGCUAACUGCUGUGUAGCUCUUUAACACAGGACCUGGAGUUGCUGGCUAUCUUACUGCAGGCUCCUCAUCGACAGUUAUGCCCAUCGUACCACCACCGGUGGACCAGGAAGCAGGAGAUCUUGGCUAGACGAUAUGUAUACUCCGCCUGUAAUGUUUCCGAAGGCAGAACUGCCACAUGUUGCACGAGGGAGGAACCUGCAGAAACUCUCUCCUCCACUCACUAACGUUGAUUGAAAGGAACUUUAUUUUCUGCCUUCCUUGUUUUACAAUAAAGUAUUAUUCGUUUUUGUAAUAAAUAUAUUUUUAUUUACGGAUAAAAAAAAAAAAAAACAAAUUUCAAUCUAGGACAUGAUUCAGAUGUAACAUAAACAUGAAGGCACUCUGUGGAUCAGCUGUCUGGGUACAUGUUUUUGUUUUAUGUUUCCUUUUGUACCGAGCACAUUUUGUUCCUUUUUAUUUGUUUACAAGACUGUGAAUCAAAAUAAUAAUCUCCUUAUUCUAAGUUUUAUAUUCCAUUUAUUGUCAGGGCUGUGGAGUAAAGCAUCUCAAGGGCAUUUAUGUUUCCGUUCUCCUCCAUCUUUGUCAUGGUUGGGCUCACUAAAUAUCUACACUGUUCUAGCUGGUUAAUAUUUGUCCUUUACAAAUCAUUAACAUGAUCCUCAGAAAGAAAAAAAAACUGAAGAUAUCCCGAUGUACAGCAUAGCUUUACCAAAUAAAAAUAAAUAUCUGCAUAAAGAAAGAAAAACAAACUGUCAGCCUGUUAUGUAAUAAACUAGUGUAAUAGUGGCACAGUCCAUACAUUAUCCAGUAUAUACAGCUUUAUAUGAAUGUACAUUAUACAGAUCAUUCAUGUACAUACUAUUUUAAGAAAAUAAAGGGAAUUGACAACCUUG